AUUGAACGCUGGCGGCAGGCUUAACACAUGCAAGUCGAACGAGUGGCGGACGGGUGAGUAAUGCUUGGGAAUCUAGCUUAUGGAGGGGGAUAAAUACCGGAAACUGUAGCUAAUACCGCGUACCAUAGGAGGAGUACAAGUGGGAUUAGGUAGUUGGUGAGGAAAAGGCUUACCAAGCCGACGAUCUCUAGCUGGUCUGAGAGGAUGACCAGCCACACUGGGACUGAGACACGGCCCAGACUCCUACGGGAGGCAGCAGUGGGGAAUAUUGCGCAAUGGGGGAAAUCUGACGCAGCAAUGCCGCGUGAAUGAAGAAGGCCUUCGGGUUGUAAAGUUCUUUUGGUAGAGAGGCGGUAACUACAGAAGAAGCACCGGCUAACUCCGUGCCAGCAGCCGCGGUAAUAC
rnacentral:rRNA from 1 species